CUAGAGUAUGGAGGGGGGAGAUGGAAUUAGUGGUGUAGGGGUAAAAUCCGUAGAUAUCACUAAGAAUACGAAAAGCGAAGGCGAUCUCCUGGAACAUUACUGACGCUAAGGCGUGAAAGCGUGGGGAGCAAACGGGAUUAGAUACCCCGGUAGUCCACGCCCUAAACGAUGUUCACUAGUCGUCGGGAUGCUAGUCAUCUCGGUGAUGCACUUAACAGAUUAAGUGAACCGCCUGGGGAGUACGGUCGCAAGAUUAAAACUCAAAGGAAUAGACGGGGACCCGCACAAGUGGUGGAGCAUGUGGUUUAAUUCGAAGAUACGCGAAGAACCUUACCUAGCCUUGACAUUGAUAGAAUACACCAGAGAUGGAGUAGUGCCUUUCGGGGAACUUGAAAACAGGUGCUGCACGGCUGUCGUCAGCUCGUGUCGUGAGAUGUUGGGUUAAGUCCCGCAACGAGCGCAACCCUCGUCCUUAGUUGCCAGCAGGUUAAGCUGGGCACUCUAAGGAGACUGCCUUCGUAAGGAGGAGGAAGGUGAGGACGACGUCAAGUCAUCAUGGCCCUUAUGGCUAGGGCUACACACGUGCUACAAUGGGGCGUACAGAGUGUUGCGAUACCGCGAGGUGGAGCUAAUCACUUAAAGCGUCUCUCAGUUCGGAUAGCAGUCUGCAACUCGACUGCUUGAAGCUGGAAUCACUAGUAAUCGUAGAUCAGCAAUGCUACGGUGAAUACGU
rnacentral:rRNA from 1 species